UCCCUGGUGGUCCAGUGGUUAGGACUCUGAACUUUCACUGCUGAGGGCCUGGAUUCAAUCCCUGGUUGGGGAA
rnacentral:tRNA from 1 species